CCCACUAUGUUGGUUUUCUCAUGGCACGGCUCAAUUAUUUGUGACUUCUCAGUCUCUGUUUUAACCCUUACCAUGCUGGACACGAUUGAUUCUACCUUUGUGACCAGUGCAGAUCUGAUCUUGGUCUUUACUGUUUGCAAAGGUAGAAUCACUUGUCGCAAGCAGGCUAAAGGUUAAAGGGGCUGGCCUCCCGCAAGCAGGCUAAAGGUUAAAGGGGCUGGCCUCCAGGUUAACAUCAAACUGUUGUACUUUUCAAAACAUAUAGACAAGUUUCUGGAGUAAUACUUAUUAUAAGAAUCUAUGUUCUUCAUACUUUAGCAGCCUGAUUUAAGUUACAAUAUUAUUAAAUUUCCAGAGCAAGACUAAAAAAAGUCUUCUUAAAUUUUACAAAAUAUGCAAAGUUCUUUGUAAACAAAUAUUGUGAGGAACUCACUGAAUUGAGAUUUGGUACUUUUAUUAUUUAUAGCUGCUUACUUAAAAUUUUGAAAAAAUUGGUGUGAUUACUGGAGGCCCCUUUAAAGUUCGACAAAUCAUGUAAAAUAAUUUGAAAAAUACAAUUUUAUUUUAUUAUUUCAUUGAAGUAAAUGAGGUUCUGCAUUGACAGAUACGUUGAUAAAGUCAUAAGAUGUGUGUUUUACUAUUUCAUUUAGCAAGAUCAUGUCAGGAAUAUGUAAAAAUGUUCACUACUGUUGUGAAAAUGUUUGAUAACCAUUCACAUUUCAUAGUUAGUCAUUCACUUAACAUCCAAACCUGACUCAUAUCAAUUUGUGAUGAAUGAUUUAUGUGUAUUUUCAAAUAAAACUUGAAUAGUAUGUCAA
rnacentral:lncRNA from 1 species